UACGUAGGUGGCAAGCGUUGUUCGGAAUUACUGGGCGUAAAGGGCUCGUAGGUGGCCAACUAAGUCGGACGUGAAAUCCCUCGGCUUAACCGGGGAACUGCGUCCGAUACUGGUUGGCUUGAGUUUGGGAGAGGGAUGCGGAAUUCCAGGUGUAGCGGUGAAAUGCGUAGAUAUCUGGAGGAACACCGGUGGCGAAGGCGGCAUCCUGGACCAAUACUGACGCUGAGGAGCGAAAGCCAGGGGAGCAAACGGG
rnacentral:rRNA from 1 species